rnacentral:rRNA from 1 species
GACGAACGCUGGCGGCGUGCUUAACACAUGCAAGUCGAACGAAGAGCGACGGAAGCUUGCUUCUAUCAAUCUUAGUGGCGAACGGGUGAGUAACGCGUAAUCAACCUGCCCUUCAGAGGGGGACAACAGUUGGAAACGACUGCUAAUACCGCAUACGAUCUAACCUCGGCAUCGAGGAUAGAUGAAAGGUGGCCUCUACAUGUAAGCUAUCACUGAAGGAGGGGAUUGCGUCGGAUUAGCUAGUUGGAGGGGUAACGGCCCACCAAGGCGAUGAUCAGUAGCCGGUCUGGGAGGAUGAACGGCCCCAUUGGGACUGAGACACGGCCCAGACUCCUACGGGAGGCAGCAGUGGGGAAUCUUCCGCAAAGGACGAAAGUCUGACGGAGCAACGCCGCGUGAGUGAUGACGGCCUUCGGGUUGUAAAGCUCGGUUAAUCGGGACGAAAGGCCUUCUUGCGAAUAGUGAGAAGGAUUGACGGUACCGGAAUAGAAAGCCACGGCUAACUACGUG